rnacentral:rRNA from 1 species
GAUCAUGGCUCAGGACGAACGCUGGCGGCGCGCCUAACACAUGCAAGUCGAACGAGCGAGAGAGAGUUUACUUUUUCGAGCGAGUGGCGAACGGGUGAGUAACGCGUGAGGAACCCUGCCUCAAAGAGGGGGACAACAGUUGGAAACGACUGCUAAUACCGCAUAAGCCCACGGCUCGGCAUCGAGCAGAGGGAAAAGGAGCGAUCCGCUUUGAGAUGGCCUCGCGUCCGAUUAG